rnacentral:rRNA from 1 species
UCCCUAGGGGGUACCUGCCGGGGGAUCAUUACACAACAAAAAUAUGAGGGUGUGGUUUGCUGGCAACAGCGUCCGCCCCAAGUAUUUUUCACCCAUGUCUUUUGCGCACUUUUUGUUUCCUGGGCGAGUUCGCUCGCCACCAGGACCCAACCAUAAACCUUUUUUUAUGCAGUUGCAAUCAGCGUCAGUAUAAUAAUUCAAUUUAUUAAAACUUUCAACAACGGAUCUCUUGGUUCUGGCAUCGAUGAAGAACGCAGCGAAAUGCGAUACGUAGUGUGAAUUGCAGAAUUCAGUGAAUCAUCGAAUCUUUGAACGCACAUUGCGCCCUUUGGUAUUCCAAAGGGCAUGCCUGUUCGAGCGUCAUUUGUACCCUCAAGCUUUGCUUGGUGUUGGGCGUCUUUUUGUCUCUCCCCUUGUUGGGGGAGACUCGCCUUAAAACGAUUGGCAGCCGACCUACUGGUUUUCGGAGCGCAGCACAAAUUUGCGCCUUCCAAUCCACGGGGCGGCAUCCAGCAAGCCUUUGUUUUCUAUAACAAAUCCACAUUUUGACCUCGGAUCAGGUAGGGAUACCCGCUGAACUUAAGCAUAUCAAUAA